rnacentral:rRNA from 1 species
CAAGUCGAACGAUUAAACUUUCCUUCGGGAAAGAUAUAAAGUGGCGCACGGGUGAGUAACACGUAAGUAAUCUACCUUCGAGUGGGGAAUAACGUCCGGAAACGGACGCUAAUACCGCAUAAUGCAGCGGCAUCGAAAGAUGACAGUUGUUAAAGGAGCAAUUCGCUUGAAGAGGAGCUUGCGGCAGAUUAGCUAGUUGGUAAGGUAAUGGCUUACCAAGGCUUCGAUCUGUAUCCGGUCUAAGAGGACGGUCGGACACACUGACACUGAAUAACGGGUCAGACUCCUACGGGAGGCAGCAGUCGGGAAUUUUGGGCAAUGGGCGAAAGCCUGACCCAGCAACGCCGCGUGAAGGAUGAAGUAUUUCGGUAUGUAAACUUCGAAAGAAUGGGAAGAAAUCAAUGACGGUACCAUUUAUAAGCUCCGGCUAACUACGUGCCAGCAGCCGCGGUAAUACGUAGGGAGCAAGCGUUGUUCGGAUUUACUGGGCGUAAAGGGCGCGUAGGCGGCAAAUUAAGUCAGCUGUGAAAUCUCCGAGCUUAACUCGGAACGGUCAGCUGAUACUGAUCUGCUAGAGUGCGGAAGGGGCAAUCGGAAUUCUUGGUGUAGCGGUGAAAUGCGUAGAUAUCAAGAGGAACACCUGAGGUGAAGACGGGUUGCUGGGCCGACACUGACGCUGAGUGCGCGAAAGCCAGGGGAGCAAACGGGAUUAGAUACCCCGGUAGUCCUGGCCUUAAACGAUGAGUACUUGGUGUCUGGAGUCUCUAUAGCUCCGGGUGCCGUCGCUAACGUUUUUAGUAUUCCGCCUGGGGAGUACGCACGCAAGUGUGAAACUCAAAGGA